rnacentral:rRNA from 1 species
GGACUACUAGGGUUUCUAAUCCUGUUUGAUCCCCACGCUUUCGGGUCUGAGUGUCAGUGUCUGGCCAGUUACCCGCCUUCGCCUCCGGUGUUCCACCUGAUAUCUACGUAUUUCACCACUACACCAGGUAUUCCAGUAACCUCUCCAGCACUCAAGCUUCGCAGUAUCAAAUGCACUUCCUGGGUUGAGCCCAGGGCUUUCACACCUGACUUACAAAGCCACCUACACCCGCUUUACGCCCAAUGAUUCCGAACAACGCUAGGGUCCCUCGUCUUACCGCGGCUGCUGGCAC